UAGAAACUACUUGGUUCCCCAAAACUGU
rnacentral:piRNA from 1 species